rnacentral:tRNA from 1 species
GCGGAUGUGGCGGAACUGGCAGACGCGCUAGAUUCAGGGUCUAGUGGCCGCAAGGCCGUGGGGGUUCAAAUCCCUCCAUCCGCACCA